rnacentral:rRNA from 1 species
GUCGAGAAUCUUUCACAAUGGGGGCAACCCUGAUGGAGCGACGCCGCGUGGAGGAUAAGGUCUUCGGAUUGUAAACUCCUGUCAUGCGUGAACAAGGUUGCUUGGUUAAUACCUGGGCAAAUUGAUGGUAACACAAGAGGAAGAGACGGCUAACUCUGUGCCAGCAGCCGCGGUAAUACAGAGGUCUCAAGCGUUGUUCGGAAUCACUGGGCGUAAAGGGUGCGUAGGUGGCGUGGUAAGUCAGAUGUGAAAGCCCGGGGCUCAACCUCGGAACUGCAUCCGAUACUGCCAUGCUAGAGUACUGGAGAGGUGACUAGAAUUCUCGGUGUAGCAGUGAAAUGCGUAGAUAUCGAGAGGAAUACCAAAGGCGUAGGCAGGUCACUGGACAGUUACUGACACUGAGGCACGAAGGCCAGGGGAGCGAACGGGAUUAGAAACCCGAGUAGUCC